GAAACUCCCUUCUGGGCUCCUUCUAAAGCCACGCCCCCAAAAUACGUGAACGCACGUUGCCGUUGCAGCUGGAGGACCAGCGAAGAGGAGCGCAGUGCAGCCGCUCACAUCAGGUGUAAGAAAACGUGUAACCUUAUCAUUAUGAAAUGAAACAACUAACCGUGGUGUUAGUACUCACUGUCUAUCUAGCAUGUUAAUAUUGGACAGGUUUAAAAAGACCGAGUUUUGAUCAGUAACGCGCUGGCUAGUUAACUGUUAGCAACAGGUAACUUAGCUGUGCUAACAGCUUCGCUAACAUUGGGCAAAGCUAAAAACAGGCUGAUCCACAUUUUCCCGUUACACGAACGUGAUUUCGUGUUUGACUCCCAACAUGGACGUUGUUUUGCAUGUCAGAGCUUCCACGGUGACAGCAUUAUUGUCUCUGAGGACUGCACUCCAGAGCCAAGCACAGACCAGGAGAGGACCGGGGUCGAGGCGCAGAGGUGGGAGGUCCGAGGAAGAACAGGCAGGACGGAGAGGACGAGGUGCAAGUUAAGCAGCACAUUUUCUAGGACCUGAGUCGAGCUUCACACUCCAACAACGGCAUAUGAACAGGUUCCCAUCAUCAAACUGACUGACUCCUUCACUGAGGUCAAAGUGGACAUCAGCUUCAAUGUGAAGAGUGGCGUUGAAGCCGCUCGGCUCAGCAAGGACUACAAAGAGGUAAUGGAGAACAGGAGGGCACACUGGAUUGGUCCUGCAGAGCUGAUUGGAGUCUCCUGAUUGGUCACCUGGAUGACAACAGCCAUCUUAAGCACCACUGACAGGAACUCCUCUCUCUCUCUCUCUCUCUCUGCCUUUCCCAACCUGAGCCUGUGUACUGUGUGUUAUACCUGUUAGUUGUGAGUAGAAAACUGCUGUGUAGAGUAGACCUUGUAAAUGAAUCUGUGCAGCUUAGCUUCGUAAUUCUGAUUGUUGUUGACAACCUUUUUUUUGUUGGCUUUAGCCAUUUUUGUUAUAAUAUACGGAUAUUUCUUUGUUGUAUAGCAGUGUGUAGGAGUGAGAAGCCCUUUUUGUUUUUGAGAUUAGAAGCCUGGUUUAGAGCUUUGUCUUUUAUUUACUUUCUGUUUUUGGUUUAGGAAAGUUUAGGUUUAUUAGAUUGUUUUGGUUGUUGUUUUGGGCACUGCUCAUCUCUGAAGCCAAUAAAACUGCUAAAUUGUAUUUCCUGUGUUCUGGCCUUGUUUGGGAAUGGGAAGAGUGGGAAGCUACACUUUUAUGUUGCGUCCCGGACACCCCUAGACCUUGGGACGUAACACACCUUAACUGGCAUUGCUAACGUCAAAAGCAAGAUGGUGUUCAUUUUAUAAUCUGUCAAGUUUUGAACGCUUCUAUAUAUUAGUGAUCAGUAGGAUAAACCAAGAAAAAUCCUGGACUUUUGAGACUUUAAAUUGCUGUUUUCCUUUGGAGGGUGCUGAAAGCAUCAACAUGUAUUUCUUUAUAUGCACUUCCUCUGUCUAUUUUUGGUCCUGUAGAAAAACCCUGUGCCAACUUAUCUGGUGCUGAAGCAGUUCCUACUGCAGAGGAACCUCAAUGAGGUUUUCACCGGUGGAAUUUGCUCAUUAGCAAGACCUCUUAAUGUUUUUAUCAACUUGAUCUUAUUUUUUGGAGGAUGUUUUGUUCUAUAACAGACUUUGGGCCCUUUUGGUUAUGUAGUUUCUAUUAUUAAGGUAUUUGCAACAAUUGUGGUUAAUGAAUACAUGAAUUAUAAACAUGCACAAUUCUGAACAAAACAGCCCUACAUGCAGUAUUCAGCAUGAACAAUGUGAAGACCGUCAUGCUGUCGAAGCAUCUAAAAGUCUCGUCAAUGACCUGUUAAACUCAUUUAACCAUCUGCAAUAAGUCUAACAUCUACCCGUGUGUUUUCCAGCUUCGCUACAGGGGAAGGACGUGUGCAGUCCCAACAUCAACAUCGGUGUUCUUCUCAUUGAAUUCUUUGAGUUCUACGGUCGCCACUUCAACUACCUGAAAGUAGGUAUCAGGAUAAAAGAUGGAGGUUGUUACGUUGCCAAAGACGAGGUUCAGAAGAACAUGAUGGAUGGCUACAGGCCCUCCAUGCUCUACAUUGAGGACCCACUGCAACCAGACAACGAUGUUGCCCGGAGUUUGUACGGUGCCAUGCAGCUUAAGCAGGACUUUGACUACGCCCGUGUGGUGCUCAGCCAUGCUGUACCCUCUCAUUUCAGA